rnacentral:rRNA from 1 species
UAAGCCUGUGAAGGUGUGUCGUGAGGCAUGCUGGAGGUAUCAGAAGUGCGAAUGCUGACAUAAGUAACGAUAAAGCGGGUGAAAAGCCCGCUCGCCGGAAGACCAAGGGUUCCUGUCCAACGUUAAUCGGGGCAGGGUGAGUCGACCCCUAAGGCGAGGCCGAAAGGCGUAGUCGAUGGGAAACGGGUUAAUAUUCCCGUACUUGGUGUUACUGCGAAGGGGGGACGGAGAAGGCUAUGUUGGCCGGGCGACGGUUGUCCCGGUUUAAGCGUGUAGGUGUGUGUUCCAGGUAAAUCCGGUUCACUUUAACACUGAGGCGUGACGACGAGGCACUACGGUGCUGAAGCAACAAAUGCCCUGCUUCCAGGAAAAGCCUCUAAGCAUCAGGUAACAUCAAAUCGUACCCCAAACCGACACAGGUGGUCAGGUAGAGAAUACCAAGGCGCUUGAGAGAACUCGGGUGAAGGAACUAGGCAAAAUGGUGCCGUAACUUCGGGAGAAGGCACGCUGACACGUAGGUGAAGUGAUUUACUCAUGGAGCUGAAGUCAGUCGAAGAUACCAGCUGGCUGCAACUGUUUAUUAAAAACACAGCACUGUGCAAACACGAAAGUGGACGUAUACGGUGUGACGCCUGCCCGGUGCCGGAAGGUUAAUUGAUGGGGUCAGCGCAAGCGAAGCUCCUGAUCGAAGCCCCGGUAAACGGCGGCCGUAACUAUAACGGUCCUAAGGUAGCGAAAUUCCUUGUCGGGUAAGUUCCGACCUGCACGAAUGGCGUAAUGAUGGCCAGGCUGUCUCCACCCGAGACUCAGUGAAAUUGAACUCGCUGUGAAGAUGCAGUGUACCCGCGGCAAGACGGAAAGACCCCGUGAACCUUUACUAUAGCUUGACACUGAACAUUGAGCCUUGAUGUGUAGGAUAGGUGGGAGGCUUUGAAGUGUGGACGCCAGUCUGCAUGGAGCCGACCUUGAAAUACCACCCUUUAA